AAGGUGAGGUAAUACGAUCCCUGGAGGUCAAAUGAUCCCCCUCCGUAAAUCAAAGAUAACUAGUGCCAUCUAUCCAAAUGAGCAUGAAACAUGUUUCCCGAGCCUCUGCCAGUUGUCUCCCCAAGUGUCAUGGCGGUGCAAGCGCUUGGCGUGAUUUUAUCAAAAAAUAAUUAAAAAGUGUGGCUCUGAUCUAAGAUCAUGCCGAGAAUUUAUAUCCGCAAAACUAAUCGCCAAAAUUGACAUGAAGAACAAAUGCAAAAGGCAUUAGAUUACAAAACCUUACAAAACCGCAAGUAGAGAGUUUAAGGUCCCUGUGAUGGCAUUAAAAAGAAGAGCCAAAGGAAAAAAUAAAAUAGCUGUAGGCUCCGUUAAAAAGCAGCACACCCUAUAAAAAGUAUCUUGAAGAGGAAGUCAAAAAGAAAACGGCUAUAGAACAAAUAAAAAUUAAAAAAACGGUAACCAACAAACAGAACGAUAAAUUUAAAUGUGUGAAAGGUGGGAAAGGAAAAGGAGUCGGGAAAGGAAAAAGAAGCGGAAAGGGAAAAGGCAAAAAAAAGCAAAAUAGAUCAGAUUCUUCAGAAGAGGAGAGUGAUACCGAAUGCCUCUUCUGUACUGAAAGCUACUCCAAAGACAACAAAGGCACAGGGUGGAUUAGGUGUGUUGUGUGUCUUAAAUGGGGACAUGAAGCUUGUGCGGGAAUAGAUAGUGACGAUGAAGGCGACUUUACUUGCGAUAUUUGCCUUUCUAGUAAUCAAUUUCAUAAUGUGAAAAAAAAUUAAGGCUAUAGGUCUAUUUCUAAAUUCUUGACAAGAAAAUUAUUAUUUUUUAAUAGAGUUGAUUUUUCUAUUGAUUUAUGACAUUGAUAAAAAAACCUUUGAUAGAAAUAAGCCUAUUUGUUUUUUUUAUUCAGAAGAAAAGUUUAUACUUAUUGCUUGACUAGGUUUAUUUGUUAACUUAUUGCUUGACUUUGUUGAUUGUUUAAACCUUUUUAAAGUUCGUUGCAAUGUUUAAUGUUUAGUUUUGUUGAUUGAGUAGUAGAUAAUUACAAAAAGAAGAUCUCUAAUGAAACUAGAAGACUGCAAAAGUUUUGUGUAACUUGCUUACAUACUGAAAUUGUUAUGCACAAUACAUAAUUAUGACUAAAUUAAA